rnacentral:rRNA from 1 species
UACGAAGGGGGCUAGCGUUGCUCGGAAUCACUGGGCGUAAAGCGCACGUAGGCGGACUCUUAAGUCGGGGGUGAAAUCCUGGAGCUCAACUCCAGAACUGCCUUCGAUACUGAGAGUCUUCGAGUUCGGGAGAGGUGAGUGGAACUGCGAGUGUAGAGGUGAAAUUCGUAGAUAUUCGCAAGAACACCAGUGGCGAAGGCGGCUCAUUGGCCCGAUACUGACGCUGAGGUGCGAAAGCGUGGGGAGCAAACAGG